rnacentral:rRNA from 1 species
GGAGCAAGAAAAGCGCGGAUCUUCAGAGAUUAGAGUUUGAUCAUGGCUCAGGGUGAAUGCUAGCGGUGCGCCUAACACAUGCAAGUCGAGCGAGAGUAGUAGCAAUACUACAAAAGCGGCAGACGGGUGAGGAACACGUUGGUACCUCCCCUUUAGUCAGGGAUAGCCAGCCGAAAGGCUGAUUAAUACCGGAUAGUCUCUUCGGAGUAAAGAUUUAUCGCUAAAGGAAGGGCCUGCGUUCUAUCAGCUAGUUGGUGAGGUAAUAGCUCACCAAGGCUAUGACGGAUAGCUGAUCUGAGAGGAUGAUCAGCCACAAUGGAACUGAGACACGGUCCAUACUCCUACGGGAGGCAGCAGUGAGGAAUCUUCCACAAUGGACGAAAGUCUGAUGGAGCGACACCGCGUGAAGGAUGAAGGGGGAAACUUUGUAAACUUCUUUUCUGAGGGAGCAUAAUGAGAGUACUUCAGGAAUAAGGGACGGCAAAUCUCGUGCCAGCAGCCGCGGUAAUACGAGAGUCCCAAGCAUUGCCCGGAAUCACUGGGUGUAAAGCGUAUGUAGGUGGUUUGGUAAGUAGGGUAUGAAAGACCGAAGCUUAACUUCGUGUUUGUGCUCUAAACUGCCAUUCUUGAAUUAGGAAGAGGUAAGCGGAAUUCUAAGUGUAGGGGUGCAAUCCGUAGAUACUUAGAAGAACACCAAAAGCGAAGGCAGCUUACUGGGACUAUAUUGACACUGAGAUACGAAAGCGUGGGGAGCGAAAAGGAUUAGAUACCCUUGUAGUCCACGCCCUAACGAUGAUAAUUAAGUGUUGCGCUUGUCGCAGUGCUGUAGCUAACGCGUUAAAUUAUCCACCUGAGAAGUACGGUCGCAAGAUUAAAACUCAAAGGAAUAGACGGGGACCCACACAAGCAGUGGAUCAUGUUGUUUAAUUCGACAAUAAACGGGGAACCUUACCCAGACUUGACAUCCUAGGAAUCCACUGGAAACAGAGGAGUGCUCGCAAGAGAGCCUAGAGACAGGUGCUGCAUGGUUGUCGUCAGCUCGUU